UGAUAACGAGUAUGUAUGAAUCAGAAUAUGAUGCGUACCCCCGGGUGUACAGGCGCAAAUAUCUUUUAUCUUUUCUCCGUGUUUCGAGGCAAGACCUUGGGAGGAGUAGGGCGAGGGCCUGUGUGACGUUUAGACACUGACUGCCAGUGAUCAGCAGCCGACUGCGCAUGAGCGCAAUGCGCCUAGAAUCGAACA
ensembl:ncRNA C05A9.3 ncRNA